rnacentral:lncRNA from 1 species
CCCCGAUCCGCCCCGCACAAUAUUCUUGAGCCGCAGCACCCUCUCCAGAUUCCUGAGACUCGGGGACCCCGGGCGCUCCCCUAAGUCCACCUAAUAACCCAGCUCUCCCAGCUUCACCCCAGCCUUCGCUCAACCCGGAGGCUGCACCUGGGGGCGCGCGGUAGCCAGCCUUGCUCCAGGCCCCGCCUUCUGAGAGGAAUGGACUUUGGCCCUCUCCCAUCACAUUUUAUUCACUUUUUCAUGACUUUGAAUAAAGAGAGAGGAUGAAAAGAAGGAAAAAAUCAAAACCUGUGCUGUGACCUUGGACUUAAUUAUACUAAUUCCAAAACACAAGCCUAAUACAUAUCUUUUGAACAAAUGAAUGGAUGAAUAAAUGAAUGAUUAAAGAGCUCUCAAGAGAGAUUCAAGAUUCAAGAAUCAAGGACACUAAUGUACUCAUUAGCUCAACAAGAAUUACUUGAAUACUUAUUCGGUGUCAGGCAUCGUACAAG